UGGCCCAUUCACUUAUGAUAGGUGUUGUACUUGGCCAAAAAGCCAAGUAUCAUUUUCUCUACUUGCCCAAAAGCUAUCAUUUUUAAUAGAAAAAAUGGAGCGGGGAGCAAAGAGAGAAGUGGUUGCAGAGAAAGAAACAGAGAGAGAGAAAUGAACGCAGAGAAAGAGAGAGGGGGGGAGGGGGGGGUGACAACGGAUCUCUCAGAAAGUAGCACUGAAGAGCAGGCACAAGCACAUGCACAGGCACAUGUAGAGGUUUUUCAAAUGGUGUUGUCUUUUGAAGCAGAUGGUGAACCUGUUUGUUAAGAAAAUCAGAUCGACGCGCUGCGUAGAACUCAGAUGGUGCUGUCUUUUUGGAAGCUAACAGAUUCUAACAGAUUGUUGGGAAAAGCCCUAAUUUUUUUCAGAAUUUAUUUUGCCUUAAUGUAUUGUUUUUUGAGCUAUGUUAAAUUUGGGGAUUUUUUAGCUAUGUUAAAUUUCAGGAUUUUUUAUAGUUAAUGUUGAAUAUAUGCUUUGAAAGUUCUCUCUAUCGUAUAGUUCUCUUUUUUCCC
rnacentral:lncRNA from 1 species